CCCGCCACUACACCUGUCUGUCCGAGUGACCGAGUGUAAUCCAGUGGAGGCUCAGAGGGACCCGGCUUUAGGAAACAGGGCUGCCCAGACUGGUGGGCCGCUCUGUGCCGAAAAGUCUGGAACAUAA
ensembl:snoRNA